UACGGGGGGAGCAAGCGUUGUUCGGAUUUACUGGGCGUAAAGGGCGCGUAGGCGGCCACCGCAAGUCAGUUGUGAAAUCUCUGGGCUUAACCCAGAAAGGUCAACUGAUACUGCGGGGCUAGAGUGCAGAAGGGGCAACUGGAAUUCUCGGUGUAGCGGUGAAAUGCGUAGAUAUCGAGAGGAACACCUGCGGCGAAGGCGGGUUGCUGGGCUGACACUGACGCUGAAGCGCGAAAGCUAGGGGAGCGAACAGG
rnacentral:rRNA from 1 species